rnacentral:sRNA from 1 species
GAGAAGCUUCGACUAAGGUUCGACUUGAGCGCCAGCGAGAGAGCGUUGCCGCAGGCAACGACCCGAAGGGCGAAGCGCGCAGCGCUGAGUAAUCCUUCCCCCACCACCA